AUAAAGAUUAACUUAAAAUUAAGCUUUCUCGUUCAUUACUCACACCCGUCCAUCUUCAUGGACGCGAGUGGCUCCUGUCCACUCUGUUUGACGCCUCCCUGUUACCACCUUUGAGCCGCCGGCAACGGCGGCUCUUUUUUU
rnacentral:sRNA from 1 species